GAACGCGGAAGGAGGACUUGCUCUUCUGGAAGAGUUGCGAACGGGUGAGUAACGCGUAGGUAACCUGCCUGGUAGCGGGGGAUAACUAUUGGAAACGAUAGCUAAUACCGCAUAAGAUUGAAUAUCGCAUGAUAAUUGAUUAAAAGAUGCAAAUGCAUCACUACCAGAUGGACCUGCGUUGUAUUAGCUAGUAGGUGAGGUAACGGCUCACCUAGGCGACGAUACAUAGCCGACCUGAGAGGGUGAUCGGCCACACUGGGACUGAGACACGGCCCAGACUCCUACGGGAGGCAGCAGUAGGGAAUCUUCGGCAAUGGGGGCAACCCUGACCGAGCAACGCCGCGUGAGUGAAGAAGGUUUUCGGAUCGUAAAGCUCUGUUGUAAGAGAAGAACGAGUGUGAGAGUGGAAAGUUCACACUGUGACGGUAUCUUACCAGAAAGGGACGGCUAACUACGUGCCAGCAGCCGCGGUAAUACGUAGGUCCCGAGCGUUGUCCGGAUUUAUUGGGCGUAAAGCGAGCGCAGGCGGUUAGAUAAGUCUGAAGUUAAAGGCUGUGGCUUAACCAUAGUACGCUUUGGAAACUGUUUAACUUGAGUGCAGAAGGGGAGAGUGGAAUUCCAUGUGUAGCGGUGAAAUGCGUAGAUAUAUGGAGGAACACCGGUGGCGAAAGCGGCUCUCUGGUCUGUAACUGACGCUGAGGCUCGAAAGCGUGGGGAGCGAACAGGAUUAGAUACCCUGGUAGUCCACGCCGUAAACGAUGAGUGCUAGGUGUUAGGCCCUUUCCGGGGCUUAGUGCCGUAGCUGACGCAUUAAGCACUCCGCCUGGGAGUACGACCGCAAGGUU
rnacentral:rRNA from 1 species